rnacentral:rRNA from 1 species
GUCUACGGCCGUGCCACCCUGAACGUGCCCAGUCUCGUCUGAUCCUGGAAGCUAAGCAGGGUCGGGCCUGGUUAGUACUUGGAUGGGAGACCACCUAGGAAGACUAGGUGCUUCAGGCA